AGUUUGAUCCUGGCUCAGGAUGAACGCUGGCGGCGUGCCUAAUACAUGCAAGUCGAACGCACUGUGGUUCAACUGAUUUGAAGAGCUUGCUCUGAUAUGACGAUGAACAUUGCAGUGAGUGGCGAACGGGUGAGUAACACGUGGGAAACCUACCUCUUAGCGGGGGAUAACAUCUGGAAACAGAUGCUAAUACCGCAUAACACUAGCAACCGCAUGGUUGCUACUUGAAAGAUGGUUCUGCUAUCACUAAGAGAUGGUCCCGCGGCGCAUUAGUUAGUUGGUGAGGUAAUGGCUCACCAAGACGAUGAUGCGUAGCCGAGUUGAGAGACUGAUCGGCCACAAUGGGACUGAGACACGGCCCAUACUCCUACGGGAGGCAGCAGUAGGGAAUCUUCCACAAUGGACGAAAGUCUGAUGGAGCAACGCCGCGUGUGUGAUGAAGGGUUUCGGCUCGUAAAACACUGUUGUAAGAGAAGAAUAGCAUCAAGAGUAACUGCUUGGUGUGUGACGGUAUCUUACCAGAAAGGAACGGCUAAAUACGUGCCAGCAGCCGCGGUAAUACGUAUGUUCCAAGCGUUAUCCGGAUUUAUUGGGCGUAAAGCGAGCGCAGACGGUUUUUUAAGUCCGAAGUGAAAGCCCACAGCUUAACUGUGGAAGUGCUUUGGAAACUGGAUGACUUGAGUGCAGUAGAGGAGAGU
rnacentral:rRNA from 1 species